rnacentral:rRNA from 1 species
UGGGGAAUAUUGCACAAUGGGCGCAAGCCUGAUGCAGCCAUGCCGCGUGUGUGAAGAAGGCCUUCGGGUUGUAAAGCACUUUCAGCGAGGAGGAAGGUGGUGAGCUUAAUACGCUCAUCAAUUGACGUUACUCGCAGAAGAAGCACCGGCUAACUCCGUGCCAGCAGCCGCGGUAAUACGGAGGGUGCAAGCGUUAAUCGGAAUUACUGGGCGUAAAGCGCACGCAGGCGGUUUGUUAAGUCAGAUGUGAAAUCCCCGGGCUCAACCUGGGAACUGCAUUUGAAACUGGCAAGCUAGAGUCUCGUAGAGGGGGGUAGAAUUCCAGGUGUAGCGGUGAAAUGCGUAGAGAUCUGGAGGAAUACCGGUGGCGAAGGCGGCCCCCUGGACGAAGACUGACGCUCAGGUGCGAAAGCGUGGGGCAGCAAACAGGAUUAGAUACCCUGGUAGUCCACGCUGUAAACGAUGUCGAUUUUGGAGGUUGUGCCCUGAGGCGUGG